GUAGGAAAAUCCCGCCCCCAAUUUUCUUUCUCGUAUUUUCCUUUUCAAUUCCCUUUCAACUUUCCCGACAUUUAUAUAUGACAAUGUGCAUCCCAUCAUCUCCAUACACGAGUUGGGAUUUUCCCUCCCCACGUCUCUGCGCUUUUGCCUGGAAAAUCCUCAACGCUGAUCUCGUUUCUGCUAGGGUUUUUCUUCCUUCUUCCCUCCUCAACUCCCCUUCUACAGAUUUUUUUCGCAGAGUCCAUUCUGUGCUGGAUGUUAACAACUUUAUAGGCUUCCAAAGGAAUUGUUUUUGCAAGAAAUUAAGUUCAGAAUGCUUGAUUUCAGUAUUCCAUUCUUAAGGUUGCUUAUCAGCUCCGAUGCUUAUGGUCCAUCUGUUUUUGGAUGGCUGGUAUAUGGAUCAUUUGGACUUUUAGCUAUUAUGUAUGCAUUGCUUAAGUGGCAGAGAAAGACUUCUCUUAAUUGGAUUAAAGCUUCUGCAAGAGAAAAGAAGAAAGCUAGGAACAAGCUAAAAGUUCCUUCAUCACAUCAUACAUGGAUGCAAGAUUCCGCUUCCCGUGGACAGCCAUCCACUUGCUGUGUUUGCUUAACGUCCCUGCUGCCUCCACAAAAUUUAGGUAAAAAAGCAGCAUGUCGUAGUCCUGUCCAUCGUUGCUAUGUUUGUGGUGUAGCAGCUCAUUUUCAUUGUUAUCAGUUUGCAGCAAAUGAUUGCAAAUGUGUAGCACAAGCUGGUUGUAGCCAUGUGCAACACCACUGGUCAGAAAGAUGGAUUAACAUGGAUGAGAAUUCAGAGAUGUCUGCUUUCUGUUUCUACUGUGAUGAACCUUGUGGCGUUCCUUUUCUUGAUGCUUCUCCAACAUGGCAUUGCUUAUGGUGCCAACGGCUUAUACACGUCAAAUGUCAUGCCAAAAUGUCUGAAGAAUCUGGUGAUGCUUGUGAUUUGGGUGCUCUUAGAAGAGUUAUCCUUUCCCCCAGCUGUGUGAAAGAAGUUCAAGGCGAAUCAAUAGGAGGUGGGAUCCUGAGCUCCAUAACAGAAGAUUUUAUUGCCUCUUCUGUUCGUGGGCAAAUUCGAAGUAGGCGCCACAAAAACAAACAUGGAAGUGGUCAUUCUGUUAAUGGGAAGCUGCAGGAUACUUCAGUUGCCAAGACAGCACUCCAGUAUCUGUACUAUGGGCUUGUUGGUUUUAAGAAGCCAAGUUUUGAGAAGCACAGUGACUACUACACGAAGAAUGGUGGAAUGCUUGGCAAGAAGGGCAACCAGACUGGGUUAAUCAAUCAAAAACAUGUAAUUGCUGUCUGUUGCCAAAUUAAGAAGUAUACAAUUGUGGACUUGCCACAGGAUGCUAGACCCCUACUGGUCUUCAUUAAUACCAAGAGUGGAGCUCAAAAUGGGCCUUCACUUCGGAGGAGUUUGAACAUGCUAUUGAAUCCUGUACAGGUUUUUGAACUCAGUUCCUCCCAAGGUCCCGAGGCUGGUUUAGAGAUGUUUAGCAAUGUACAAUAUUUUAGGGUUUUGGUGUGUGGUGGAGAUGGUACUGUUGCAUGGGUCCUUGAUGCAAUUGAGAAGAAAAAUUUUGAAACGCCACCACCUGUUGCUGUACUGCCUCUGGGCACAGGAAAUGAUUUGUCAAGGGUUUUGUGUUGGGGAAGAGGGUUCUCAACAGUAGAACAACAAGGUGGAUUGAACACUUUUUUGCAUGACAUCACUCAUGCAGCAGUUACCAUGCUAGAUCGCUGGAAAGUUAGUAUUAUGGAAGAAAACCCCGACUGUGAUCCUAAAGUGCAAUCCAAAUUCAUGAUGAACUAUUUAGGAAUAGGUUGUGAUGCAAAGGUUGCAUAUGAAUUCCAUGUGACUCGGGAAGAAAACCCUAACAAGUUCUACAGUCAGUUUGUUAAUAAAUUGCGGUAUGCAAGAGAAGGUGCCAGGGAUAUAAUGGACAGAACUUGUGCUGACUUACCAUGGCAAGUUCGGCUUGAAGUAGAUGGGAGAGAUGUUCUGAUCCCAAGGGACACUGAGGGUUUGAUUGUGCUGAACAUAGGCAGCUAUAUGGGUGGUGUUGAUCUCUGGCAAAAUGAUCAUGACCAUGAUGAUGAUUUUAAUCUUCAGUCCGUGCAUGACAAAAUGCUAGAGGUUGUAUGUGUUUCUGGUGCAUGGCACCUUGGCAAACUUCAGUUAUGCUGAUGCAGUGGGAAAGGAAGAAUUAGCAAAACAAGUGCAGAAUUUGUGCUAAAAGCAGCAUUUAUCAAAUGUGGAACAAUAAUACGAAACUUAGGAUAUAAGAAAACCUAAAAUAUUGAAUUGUAAUAAAAUGGCUGCUUACAAAAUGUUGUAAAAGGCUAUUUAUACUAGGGUUAAGACACGAUAAAUCCUAGUCAUUGAUAACAAAAGAAUCCUUCUAAUCUUAGCCAUCCAUCUUACAUUAGAAGUCUCGUGCUAAUCACAUGACUACAUAUUAAAGCUAAUAGCAUAAAAUACUUUCUAAAACCUAAUGACUUAAAUACUUAUGCUAACCAUAACUAAACAAAUAAAAAAUAAAAAAACCCAUAAAUCAAAGAAUAUGCUCCUGCAUCAUAUGUUUUCUUUGCAAUUGGUAAUUUAUUUAUUUUCUUUUACAUCUAUUGAACUUUUUAAUGUUACAGAAUAUAGGGAAAUACAUGCAGAAAUGUAUCAGUAAUAACUGCUACAUCUCAUUGUACAAUAGGAUCCUAGUGUUACUAGCUUAAUUCUAUUAUCAUACCAUAUUAAACAAAAAAAUUAUGUUCUUAAUUUAGUUGUCUAAUAACUUCUCACAUUGCCUAUUUUUUUGUUAUUAACAGCCAACUAAUUUACAUCUCAUUUUUUAAUUUUAAUUUCCCUAUAACUCCACUUUCUGUCCAAAAUUUUGAUUAUUAGCAACUAACUAAUAUAUAUUUAUGGAGUAUCCUAUUACAAUAGAUGAAAAAAUAAUCACAUGCAUUGCAAUGUGCACGUGCUGCCCGAGUAGUUCCAUCAAACUUUAAACUUUUCCUCCCCCGUAAUUUUUUAUGGAUGAUCUAUCAUCGCUUUCCCCUUAUCUUGUUUGACCUUUUGACUCUUUGUUAUUGAUACUAUUGUCUAUACUCUUUUUUAAUUCUAUCUUUUUUGUCAUUCUACUUAUUUUUUAUGUUUCAUUUUUAUUGUAAGGAAGUGUAUUUGAACACAAUGCUUUUCAAAGACUUUGUUUUUCUUUUUCCUUUUAAUAAUCCUUAAGCAAAUUUAAACAACUUUUUUUUAUCAUUUUCUUGGUAAUUCAACUUUAAUACUUGCUGGUGGGAAGAUGUAAAACACUGUCAAACUGCAAGUCAAUGGCAUGUAUUUUGCACACACUACCUAAAAUUUGUAUGCUUAAUUGCUUAUAGCAAUCUGGCAUAUGGUAUGUGUACUAUGCUGGUCAUUUACAUGUGACUAUUGAAUGGAGCUCUGUGUCGUGUAUACGUGUCAAUCCCCCUGUGCUCCCCCUUGUGAUGUAAUCCUAGGUCUCAAUACUUGCACGCAACCAAUAUAAUGGAGAACUUUAUGGAAAUAAACAUCUGCUGCUAAAAAAGUUCAGCUAUUAAUCUUAACUGGACAAAUACUAAAGCUUUAAAGAUCAAUCGUUUUUGUGAGACAUGGAUAAACAACUGCUUUAAUGGAACUCAAUAAACCAUUAAACAUCCAACCAAAGGUUUAAUACACAUAUAGCCAAAAACACAAAGGCUAGGGAACCUGUCAACACCAAACGUAGGGAACUAAGCAGUGUUGAACCGAAAAUGAACUUAGAAACUCAACAUGAAGACAACAUGAAAUACCAGAGAAGUUUCAGGAACUGGUACCAGCUAGCUAAGAUCCAGCAACAAGAGUGAGUUGUUGCAGGUCUGAUAUGAGCAAAACAGCAAAGGAGAAUUGAGAUUGAAUGGCACAGCAGCAGAAUAAAAGUGAAGAGGAGGACAAAAAAAGAAAAAAAAAAGAAAGAAAAAAGAAGAAAAGAUGAAGAAGCAGCGGGUGCAGCUGCAUGGUAUAUAGCAUCAGUAUCUGGAGAAGGUGAAGAUAUGAGAAGAAAAAGAUGGAAGAAAAAGGGACACAAAGAACUAGCAGUUGCAGAGCAAUUAUGAAAGGUGAUCGGAAGAAUGAGAGAAAGCUGAAGAAGAAAGAAGAGGAGAAAUAGCUGGAUAGAUAGCUGAAGCAGAGGGGGAGAAAGCAGUUGGACUGUCACAAGCAAGGAGGGUUGCCCAAGGGAGAGUCAUUCGUAUUCAUGCUUCUAGUUCUUUCCCUGUUCAAAUUGAUGGGGAGCCUUUUAUCCAUAAACCUGGCUGUAUAGAGAUAACACAUCAUGGGCAGGUGU